AGCGUGUUAUUACUGUCUGAUUUGAUCGGAGGCAGGGGGUGGUCUCCAAUCAAACAGAGAAAAGGUCCUGGAGAAGAUCUAUGAGCUAGAAGACAGCUGGGACAGCAAAUUCUUGACUCGCUUAUCAUCAUGUUCCCUUUCCAUGGUCAGCCCAGACUCUGGGCUCCAUCACAACACACUAGUCUGUUCAGCAUGGAGUACCUUUUUUGCCUCUUCUAGUCCAGCCAUCCAGGCAAAUCAAUCAAUACACUAAUUUUAAACACAGAAAACCUAAAGGACACUUAAAUGUAAUUUUAUCAAGAGGAAGGAGAAAAUUGAUUUUGUACAUGCCCAACCUCUGUCUUAACUGAUACAAAGAUUUCAAAGGAACAAUGUUCAAUUUUAAGUGGCAAUUCAUAAGUGACCCAUCGUGUCAAGCUGGAGAGCAGGAGGGACACCCAGCUUUUUAAAGCGAGCUUAUCAAUCACUGUAUCCCGAAUAAGCAUCUUCAUCCCAGCUACAGAAAAUAGAAGGCUGUAGAAAAGAACAGGAGGCUAGCCAUGCUUUCAACCUUAUUUUAAAGUAAUUAUAUGAAAAAAGUCUGUGUUUAUAAACUAAUAAAUUAUACACUUUUAAAAUGUU
rnacentral:lncRNA from 1 species